GAUGAACGCUGGCGGCGUGCCUAAUACAUGCAAGUCGAGCGAACGGACGAGAAGCUUGCUUCUCUGAUGUUAGCGGCGGACGGGCGAGUAACACGUGGAUAACCUACCUAUAAGACUGGGAUAACUUCGGGAAACCGUAGCUAAUACCGGAUAAUAUUUUGAACCGCAUGGUUCAAGAGUGAAAGACGGUCUUGCUGUCACUUAUAGAUGGAUCCGCGCUGCAUUAGCUAGUUGGUAAGGUAACGGCCUACCAAGGCAACGAUGCAUAGCCGACCUGAGAGGAUGAUCGGCCACACUGGAACUGAGACACGGUCCAGACUCCUACGGGAGGCAGCAGUGGGGAAUCUUCCACAAUGGGCGAAAGCCUGACGCAGCAACGCCGCGUGAGUGAAGAAGGUCUUCGGAUCGUAAAACUCUGUUAUUAGGGAAGAACAGAUGUGUGAGUAACUGUGCACAUCUUGACGGUACCUAAUCAAAAAGCCACGGCUAACUACGUG
rnacentral:rRNA from 1 species